AACGAACGCUGGCGGCAUGCCUAACACAUGCAAGUCGAACGAGAUCUUCGGGUCUAGUGGCGCACGGGUGCGUAACGCGCGGGAAUCUGCCCUUUGGUUCGGAAUAACAGUUGGAAACGACUGCUAAUACCGGAUGAUGACGAAAGUCCAAAGAUUUAUCGCCAGAGGAUGAGCCCGCGUAGGAUUAGCUAGUUGGUGUGGUAAAGGCGCACCAAGGCGACGAUCCUUAGCUGGUCUGAGAGGAUGAUCAGCCACACUGUGACUGAGACACGGCCCAGACUCCUACGGGAGGCAGCAGUGGGGAAUAUUGGACAAUGGGCGAAAGCCUGAUCCAGCAAUGCCGCGUGAGUGAUGAAGGCCUUAGGGUUGUAAAGCUCUUUUACCCGGGAUGAUAAUGACAGUACCGGGAGAAUAAGCUCCGGCUAACCCCGUGCCAGCCGCCGCCGUAA
rnacentral:rRNA from 1 species